CUUGCUCCCUGAUGUUACGGCGGACGGGUGAGUACACGUGGGUACCUGCCUGUAAGACUGGGAUAACUCCGGGAAACCGGGGCUAAUACCGGAUGGUUGUUUGAACCGCAUGGUUCAAACAUAAAAGGUGGCUUCGGCUACCACUUACAGAUGGACCCGCGGCGCAUUAGCUAGUUGGUGAGGUAACGGCUCACCAAGGCGACGAUGCGUAGCCGACCUGAGAGGGUGAUCGGCCACACUGGGACUGAGACACGGCCCAGACUCCUACGGGAGGCAGCAGUAGGGAAUCUUCCGCAAUGGACGAAAGUCUGACGGAGCAACGCCGCGUGAGUGAUGAAGGUUUUCGGAUCGUAAAGCUCUGUUGUUAGGGAAGAACAAGUACCGUUCGAAUAGGGCGGUACCUUGACGGUACCUAACCAGAAAGCCACGGCUAACUACGUGCCAGCAGCCGCGGUAAUACGUAGUGGCAAGCGUGUCGAAA
rnacentral:rRNA from 1 species